rnacentral:rRNA from 1 species
AGAGUUUGAUCCUGGCUCAGAUUGAACGCUGGCGGCAGGCUUAACACAUGCAAGUCGAGCGGAUGAUGGGAGCUUGCUCCUGGAUUCAGCGGCGGACGGGUGAGUAAUGCCUAGGAAUCUGCCUGGUAGUGGGGGACAACGUUUCGAAAGGAACGCUAAUACCGCAUACGUCCUACGGGAGAAAGCAGGGGACCUUCGGGCCUUGCGCUACCAGAUGAGCCUAGGUCGGAUUAGCUAGUUGGUGGGGUAAAGGCUCACCAAGGCGACGAUCCGUAACUGGUCUGAGAGGAUGAUCAGUCACACUGGAACUGAGACACGGUCCAGACUCCUACGGGAGGCAGCAGUGGGGAAUAUUGGACAAUGGGCGAAAGCCUGAUCCAGCCAUGCCGCGUGUGUGAAGAAGGUCUUCGGAUUGUAAA